AGUGAACGCUGGCGGUAGGCCUAACACAUGCAAGUCGAACGGCAGCACAGUAAGAGCUUGCUCUUACGGGUGGCGAGUGGCAGACGGGUGAGGAAUACAUCGGAAUCUACUUUUUCGUGGGGGAUAACGUAGGGAAACUUACGCUAAUACCGCAUACGACCUACGGGUGAAAGCAGGGGAUCUUCGGACCUUGCGCGAUUGAAUGAGCCGAUGUCGGAUUAGCUAGUUGGCGGGGUAAAGGCCCACCAAGGCGACGAUCCGUAGCUGGUCUGAGAGGAUGAUCAGCCACACUGGAAAUGAGACACGGUCCAGACUCCUACGGGAGGCAGCAGUGGGGAAUAUUGGACAAUGGGCGCAAGCCUGAUCCAGCCAUACCGCGUGGGUGAAGAAGGCCUUCGGGUUGUAAAGCCCUUUUGUUGGGAAAGAAAAGCAGCAGGUUAAUACCCCGCUGUUCUGACGGUACCCAAAGAAUAAGCACCGGCUAACUUCGU
rnacentral:rRNA from 1 species